rnacentral:rRNA from 1 species
CUAUUGCGCGGCUUACCAUGCGAGUCGAGCGGGGAGAAUAGCUUGCUACUUUACCUAGCGGCGGACGGGCGAGUAAUGCUUAGGAAUUGCCUAUUAGUGGGGGACAACAUCUCGAAAGGGAUGCUAAUACCGCAUACGUCCUACGGGAGAAAGCAGGGGACCUUCGGGCCUUGCGCUAAUAGAUAAAGCCUAAGUCGGAUUAGCUAGUUGGUGGGGUAAAGGCCUACCAAGGCGACGAUCUGUAGCGGGUCUGAGAGGAUGAUCCGCCACACUGGGACUGAGACACGGCCCAGACUCCUACGGGAGGCAGCAGUGGGGAAUAUUGGACAAUGGGGGGAACCCUGAUCCAGCCAUGCCGCGUGUGUGAAGAAGGCCUUUUGGUUGUAAAGCACUUUAAGCGAGGAGGAGGCUACCGAGAUUAAUACUCUUGGAUAGUGGACGUUACUCGCAGAAUAAGCACCGGCUAACUCUGUGCCAGCAGCCCGCGGUAAUACAGAGGGUGCAAGCGUUAAUCGGAUUUACUGGGCGUAAAGCGCGCGUAGGUGGCCAAUUAAGUCAAAUGUGAAAUCCCCGAGCUUAACUUGCGAAGUUGCAUUCGAUACUGGUUGGCUAGAGUAUGGGAGAGGAUGGUAGAAUUCCAAGUGUAGCGGUGCAAAUGCGUAGAGAUCAUGGGACGAAUACCGAAUGGCGAAAGCCAGCCCAUCUGGCCGUAAUACUGACACUGAGUGCCGAAAGCCAUGGGGAGCAAAAACAGGAUUUAAGAUGACCCCUGGUAGGUCCCAAUGGCCCGUAAAACGAAUGAUCUACUAGCCGAUUGGGGGGCCUUUGAUCGUUUAAGUUGGUCGCAGCUUAACGCGAUUAAGUUAGACCGCCUGGUGAAGUACGGUUCGCAGACUAAAACUCGAUGCAUUGACCUGUGCCCGCCUACAGCCGAUUGCAGCCAUGUUGC